UUGUUACCUCAAGCAGCCCAUAUUGCCACCACCACCUCCUACAGCUAUUGUUUGGUUAUCGGGUCUGCCUUGCGAGUCGUAGUGCACGCUAGUGCUGUUUAUAUCUCGUUACCGUUAUCGUUAUCUUAUCGGGUUAUCUGUUGGGGAAUCAUGACACAUGGUUUAUGGAUAUGUUGUUGGAGAUAAUCACACUUACUUUAUUGUAAACAACUAAAAUUGUAAGCAGAGGCAUCUGUGAGCCCCUUUGCGAAAGCAUCGGAACUUUGACUCGCUAAAGUCCCCUAGGACCCGAGUUCUUGUUAUCUGUUCCGAGAUUGAGCGCUCUACCCGUACGUGGGGAUGAUUAUCGGGACCCCCCUCACCCAUUACCUUUUCUCAAGUCAGUUGAAAAGGGGGCCACAACCUUCGUUUUAUUUGCCUAUGCCAUGUAUGCCAUGCUUUACUUACUGUUGCCUUCGGGUGUUUACUUCCUGUUGCCUUCAGGUGUUUAUAUUCUGUACUAUACCUUGCGGGACGUUUAGCGAAGCGUGUGGUUUGCACGCCUAGCCGCCGGCGCAAACCCUGAGUCCGUCUCGGAGUACGGCCGGACUUCAUCACGGGUAGCUUAGUCGGGUGGCCCUCCUAGACUUUCUUGUGGAACUGGGAACGGUCUUGUUGUGAGACUCCGCCGUAAUUAAGCGGGUUCGAGCAUGCGUAUGGUUACAUUUGGGCAACCCCUGCAGGGUGUACAUCUUAUCGAUAAGCCGUGUCCGCGGUUAUGGACGACUUGGAAUUGUAUAGCUCGAUCAUAGAACAACUUACACCUUUAUGCUGAUGCUAAUAAUUUGCUAAUAACUUGCGUAGUAAUAUAGCACUACUUCAACGGCUACCUAAUAAAACUUGUCCACCGUGUGAGUGCCUUUGUAAGUACUUCCUUGCGAUGGGGGAACGCAUCGGUUGUGUUAUGUUUGCAGAGUAUAGAACUGCUAGCUUACGCGCUCUCUCAUCUCCUCUGAUUAGACGACUGUUGUAGAGUGUCUCUAUAGGUUUUUAGUGCUUGCGCGCUGCCGCUUAACCCCACCAUAUUGCCUAUGAUGUUCCUCUUGCGUCCUCUAAGUCCCCUGCGUGCCUCAAGUACAAAGGACGACUGGUUGACGAAUGCUUAUACGUCUUGAAGUCUUGUUAAGUACGAACCCGUACUUAUUGCUGCUUUGGGACAUAACCGGGCAGGUAUGAAGACAUGUUCGAUGAAGACGACGUUAGCGAGGUUACCCUUCCGGCUUGGCCUGGGCAGGGUUAUGGACGCCACUGGUUAUCUUCAGGACUCUUAGUCCAAUUUGUAUCUUGUCCGUACUCGGACGUAUUUGAUCUUCUGUAUGAUUCGGAUCUUUGUAUUGUAUAUUUGUAUCUUGACUCGUUGGAGUCGUUGUUGUAAUAUAUGUUUCUUGUGGGCUCUAUUGUAA